AACGAACGCUGGCGGCAUGCCUAACACAUGCAAGUCGAACGAGACCUUCGGGUCUAGUGGCGCACGGGUGCGUAACGCGUGGGAACCUGCCCUUAGGUUCGGAAUAACUCCCCGAAAGGGGUGCUAAUACCGGAUAAUGUCUUCGGACCAAAGAUUUAUCGCCUUUGGAUGGGCCCGCGUUGGAUUAGCUAGUUGGUAGGGUAAAAGCCUACCAAGGCGACGAUCCAUAGCUGGUCUGAGAGGAUGAUCAGCCACACUGGGACUGAGACACGGCCCAGACCCCUACGGGAGGAAGCAGGGGGGAAUUUUGGAAAUGGGGCGAAAGCCUGAUCCAGCAAUGCCGGGGGAGUGAUGAAGGCCUUAGGGUUGAAAAGCUCUUUUACCCGGGAUGAUAAUGACAGUACCGGGAGAAUGAGCCCCGGCUAACUCCGU
rnacentral:rRNA from 1 species